GAUGAAGAACGCAGCGAAAUGCGAUACGUAAUGUGAAUUGCAAAUUCAGUGAAUCAUCGAGUCUUUGAACGCACAUUGCGCCCCCUGGUAUUCCGGGUGGCAUGCCUGUCCGAGCGUCAUUGCUGCCCUCAAGCACGGCUUGUGUGUUGGGCCCCGUCCUCCGAUCCCGGGGGACGGGCCCGAAAGGCAGCGGCGGCACCGCGUCCGGUCCUCGAGCGUAUGGGGCUUUGUCACCCGCUCUGUAGGCCCGGCCGGCGCUUGCCGAUCAACCCAAAUUUUUAUCCAGGUUGACCUCGGAUCAGGUAGGGAUACCCGCUGAACUUAAGUAUAUCAAUAAGCGGAGGA
rnacentral:misc_RNA from 1 species